GACGAACGCUGGCGGCGUGCUUAACACAUGCAAGUCGAACGGUAAGGCCCUUCGGGGUACACGAGUGGCGAACGGGUGAGUAACACGUGGGUGAUCUGCCCUGCACUUCGGGAUAAGCCUGGGAAACUGGGUCUAAUACCGGAUAGGACUCCUGGCUUCAUGGUUGGGGGUGGAAAGCUUUUGCGGUGUGGGAUGGGCCCGCGGCCUAUCAGCUUGUUGGUGGGGUGAUGGCCUACCAAGGCGACGACGGGUAGCCGGCCUGAGAGGGUGACCGGCCACACUGGGACUGAGAUACGGCCCAGACUCCUACGGGAGGCAGCAGUGGGGAAUAUUGCACAAUGGGCGCAAGCCUGAUGCAGCGACGCCGCGUGAGGGAUGACGGCCUUCGGGUUGAAAACCUCUUUCAGCACCGACGAAGCGCAAGUGACGGUAGGAGCAGAAGAAGGACCGGCCAACUUCGUGCCAGCCGCCGCAGUAA
rnacentral:rRNA from 1 species